rnacentral:rRNA from 1 species
GACGAACGCUGGCGGCGUGCUUAACACAUGCAAGUCGAACGGAAAGGCCCUGCUUUUGUGGGGUGCUCGAGUGGCGAACGGGUGAGUAACACGUGAGUAACCUGCCCUUGACUUUGGGAUAACUUCAGGAAACUGGGGCUAAUACCGGAUAGGAGCUCCUGCUGCAUGGUGGGGGUUGGAAAGUUUCGGCGGUUGGGGAUGGACUCGCGGCUUAUCAGCUUGUUGGUGGGGUAGUGGCUUACCAAGGCUUUGACGGGUAGCCGGCCUGAGAGGGUGACAGGCCACAUUGGGACUGAGAUACGGCACAGACUCCUCUGGGAGGCAGCAGUGGAGAAUAUUGCACAAUGGGCGGAAGCCUGAUGCAGCAACGCCGCGUGCGGGAUGACGGCCUUCGGGUUGUAAACCGCUUUCGCCUGUGACGAAGCGUGAGUGACGGUAAUGGGUAAAGAAGCACCGGCUAACUACGUG